UACGUAGGCAGCGAGCGUUGUUCGGAGUUACUGGGCGUAAAGCGUGCGUAGGCGGUGUUCCAAGUCUGUUGUGAAAUCUCCCGGCUUAACCGGGAGGGUGCGGCGGAAACUGGGAUGCUGGAGUGCGGGAGAGGUAAGCGGAAUUCCCGGUGUAGCGGUGAAAUGCGUAGAUAUCAUUUGGAACGCCAAUGGUGAAAACAGGUAGCUGGGAGUGUGCUGACGCUGAGACACGAAAGCCAGGGGAGCGAACGGG
rnacentral:rRNA from 1 species